AACGAACGCUGGCGGCAGGCUUAACACAUGCAAGUCGAGCGCCCCGCAAGGGGAGCGGCAGACGGGUGAGUAACGCGUGGGAACGUACCCUUAUCUUCGGGAUAUCUCCGGGAAACUGGAAUUAAUACCGAAUGUGCCCUUUGGGGGAAAGAUUUAUCGGAUAAGGAUCGGCCCGCGUUGGAUUAGCUAGUUGGUGGGGUAAAGGCCUACCAAGGCGACGAUCCAUAGCUGGUCUGAGAGGAUGAUCAGCCACAUUGGGACUGAGACACGGCCCAAACUCCUACGGGAGGCAGCAGUGGGGAAUAUUGGACAAUGGGCGCAAGCCUGAUCCAGCCAUGCCGCGUGAGUGAUGAAGGCCUUAGGGUUGUAAAGCUCUUUCACCGGAGAAGAUAAUGACGGUAUCCGGAGAAGAAGCCCCGGCUAACUUCGUG
rnacentral:rRNA from 1 species